CAGCUGCUCCAGCAGCUCAGCCCUGGCCGCGUUCUUCUUGUGCUUCUUGCCGUCGUAGUGCUGCUGGGCCAUGACGGGGUUGUUGAACCACGCGGCACACAGCUGGCAGUAGCGGUCUGAAUCCCUGCGUGGCUGCGGUGGGGACGCUGCUGGGGGCCGAUCCGCGCGGGGCUGCUUCAAGGAGCCCAGGGUCUCUGUGGCCUUCAGUGCCGGCGGCUCACCUAGCAACAGCUUUAACCUUUUGGCAUGGAUUUUCCCUUGGUAAUGCGAUUCAGCCACCACUGCUGAGGUAAAGGACAUGUUACAUAGCGUGCAGCAUUUGUUCUUAUCCACCGAGUCACCAUCGCUGCCAUUUUCUGAGCGGAGCUUUUUGGCUGGACAGCCUCCAUCGAUGGGGUGAAG
rnacentral:lncRNA from 1 species